UGGGGAAUAUUGGACAAUGGGGGCAACCCUGAUCCAGCUACGCCGCGUGAGUGAUGAAGGUUUUCGGAUCGUAAAACUCUGUCUUGUGGGAAGAAUCUCUCAGGUUCGAAUAGGUCCUGAGAUUGACGGUACCACAGGAGGAAGCACCGGCUAACUCCGUGCCAGCAGCCGCGGUAAAACGGAGGGUGCGAGCGUUGCUCGGAAUUACUGGGCGUAAAGCGCGUGCAGGCGGUUCGCUAUGUCUCGUGUGAAAUCCCUGGGCUCAACCCAGGAACUGCACGGGAAACUGGCGGACUAGAGUAUGACAGGAGAGGGCGGAAUUCCCGGUGUAGAGGUGAAAUUCGUAGAUAUCGGGAGGAACACCAGCAGCGAAGGCGGCUCUCUAGGUCAAUACUGACGCUCAGACGCGAAAGCAUGGGGAGCAAACAGG
rnacentral:rRNA from 1 species